CUGAGUUUUAAAGAGCCGCAGUAUUUUGACUGUGCGAAGGUAGCAUAAUAAUUAGUUUCUUUAUUGGGAACUGGUAUGAAUGGUUGGACGAGAAAAUGACUGUCUCUUUCUGAUUGGGAUUGAAUUUUACUUUUAAGUUAAAAGGCUUAAAUUUUUUUGAAAGACGAGAAGACCCUAUAGAGUUUUAUUUUUAGAUUUUUAUUAAUUUUAGGUAUUUAAUAUUUUAUGAAUUUUGAAAAUUUGAUUGGGGUGAUUGAAAAAUUGAUUAAACUUUUUUUUUAUUUUUACAAAUUUAAUUGAGUAUGUGAUCCAUAUUUUGUGAUUAUAAGAUUAAAUUACCUUAGGGAUAACAGCGUAAUCUU
rnacentral:rRNA from 1 species